GCUUCGCUGGCUUAGUGGUUAGGGCGUCCGCCUUUGGAUGCGGGAGGUCGCAGGUUCGAACCCCAGUCGAGUCA